rnacentral:rRNA from 1 species
AAGAAUCGUGGAGGUAGAGCACUGAUUGGGUGCGGGGCCCGCAAGGGUUACCAAGCUCAGUCAAACUCCGAAUGCCAUAGAUUUAGUUCCGGGAGUCAGACAGUGAGUGCUAAGAUCCAUUGUCGAAAGGGAAACAGCCCAGACCAUCAGCUAAGGUCCCCAAGUGUGUGUUAAGUGGGAAAGGAUGUGGAGUUGCACAGACAACCAGGAUGUUGGCUUAGAAGCAGCCACCAUUGAAAGAGUGCGUAAUAGCUCACUGGUCGAGUGACUCUGCGCCGAAAAUGUAACGGGGCUAAACACACCACCGAAGCUAUGGCUUGAUGCUU